GUAGAAAAUAGGAUCAGCUGGAAGAUAGAUAGCGGAGUCUUUAGUGAUGCAGAAUGGUGUUUUUCUUACCGUGUUUGAUGUUUGUUGCCCAAUGGGGGACCGUGACUGCAUAAGGCUCCAAGUCAAUUCUGAUUGUUGUCUGUCCAUUACAAAUUCAAGGAUGAAUUUUUAGGUAGCAGGGGAGUAUGUCACUGUCUAGAACUGUUUAUUUAUUACAGAGAGAAUGUGUAAGCAGCCAGAUAGCUCAAUUGGUAAAGCUGUGGUGCGUAUUCUGAAGGUCCCAUGUUUGAGUCCUGGUCAGGCUUCACUUAUCAUCCUUUCACAUAAGAAAGUAGUGAAUAUGUUUAGUUUUACAUGAUGAUUGUGUUUAAGGUGCAAAGGUAUUCAGUACUAGCUUCAAUUUUGUUAUAUAAGUGUCAUUGUGAAGGUGAAAAUUUCAUACUUCUAUGAGUGUAAUAUGAUCUGAUAUAUUUUAUACUUUUAUAUUUCUUCCUAAAAAUAUGUACAGGUUAUUUUCUGUAGAUGUUUCUUUGUGUUUAUGAUAUCAGAUUAUUUUGUCAGAUUAUUUUGUCAUCUCAAUAGUUGGUAUAAAAUAUGCUCUCAUUAACUGCCCCUUUUAUAGAUGUUCAUGUAUGGUAUAGGGUGUUUUAGUACAUGUAGUCUAGAAAUGAAUCUUAUAAUGGUAUAGACAUUUGAUAUGCAGCUAAUAACCAUAUGACAAUCUCUUUUAUCCUUUGGGUCUAAUCUAGAACACAGAAUAAAUUUUUUUGACAUGAUGACUCAUGGGUAUUUUCAAGGUCAAGGUCAUAUUUUAUCCACGGUCAAGGUCACAGAUUGAGGUAUUGGGGCAGAAAUGCUAUUUCGUAUUAUUUUAUUUGUCAUGGGAUCUUUAGGUAAAAUAAGAAAACAUUUGCCUUCAAAGCCAAUGCCUUUGGAAAGGAAUUGGAAGGUGAUCGGAUGCAGUUUUUAGGUUAGUUUGUGAUACUUAACCACUAGAUGUGAUUUUAUCAUUACUCAUGGUUAUUCAUCGGGGCAGAUUUUUAAAAAACAAAACAAAAAAAUAAACGUUGCACCAUUCAAAACUUGUAUUUUUAUCUUAGCAUUUUCACAUUGGCAGAUAUAGUACCAAAUUAUGGCAUGGACAAGCAUGUCUAUUUUUGACAUACAUUUCAUUAUUAUUGCCUAUUUUUUAAAAAUUAUUUAGAUGGUUUCAUACUUGAAGUUUUUACCAUUUUGUGCUCAGUGUUAUAGAUGUUGUAAGAAUAUUUUGUGAGUUAUAUUUUGAUAUAAUAUGAUAUAUUAACAUUGUGCCUAGCUUUAGAUUUUAGCCUACCAAACUUCUGUAUAGUGAUGGUGAGUUAGUGACCAGUUGAUGUCCGUCAUCCAUGAGUGUAUGAACAACUUCUUGUCUGGUUGAUAACAAUUAUUUUUUUUACCAAACUUACACAGAACUUGUAUCACUAAUAAAGAAAUAAAUAAAUAAAUGAUAAUCACUGUAAAGAAAAGGCCAAGAUUUUAUACAGAGUUAUGGCCCCUAAAAGGUGAAAAAAAUGGAUAUUUUAGGGAACAGCUUCUGUGUACAAAACUGAUAAUCUUACAAAUUUCAAAAUAAAUUUAUGCACCUUUAUAGGACUAGGAUGAGCGAUUUAGGUCCAUUAUGGCCCUCUUGUUAUAUGUAAGGUACAUAUAUAUUCAGGGUAGCAUUAUUGAUAGAACACAUAUACACAUGUAUAUGUACAUGUAUAUAAAUGUAUAUAUAUGUAACAUCUAAAAAAUGUACAUUAUGCCUCUAUCCAAAAAUAUUAAUAUAUUAAUUUUUGUAUUUGCGUUAUAACAUUUCUGUCACUGCUUUCUUAUUUAUUAUUUAUUCAUCUGGAAUUGAAAAUAAGUCAAAAAAAGCUGUUCUGUCAUUUCUAAUGGGUAAAAUUAUGUAAGAAUCUGAUUAAAUUUGGCAGUUAUAUGUAUUAUACUUAUAUAUAACAUAGCAUUACUAUAAUUCUUGUAGAAUAAAAGAAGAAAAAAAGUUGGUUUACAAAAAUAUGCAGGAUAUGACAUUUGAUUACUAAUAUGAUAUGUGAAAUAGAAAUUUUCUUCUAGAGGUGAAAAAGUUGAUUGAAAUGAUACUUAGUGUUGAUUUACCAUUUGAUGUGAACUUUCUUUUCUUAAAGAUAUACUAUGCUCAUCCUUAAGUAAAAUAUUUUAAGCACAGAAAUUUACUGAAAUCUAUGAAAUUUUUACUGAAUAUAUCUAUGUUGAAGACAAUAAUUAAUAAGCUAUGUAUUGGAAGGUGCAUUUCCAAUUACUGGUUGGUCUUCUAUUUUUUAAAAUGCCAGUUUUUUUUAUACAACACUAUAUAUUGAUAUUGUGACCACCUAUAACAUGUAGAAUUUUAAACAUAUCUACUUUGUAUCAAGUCAAAACAUGUUUAUUUUAUACUUACAAAGAGGCUGUGUAGCAAUUACCAAUACUUUCUAAUAUCAAAUUUGAGCCUAGUAUAUCUUUAAGUCUUUUACCUCUAUGAAUUCUUUCAUUUCAUUUUCUAAAUAUUAAAAUAUUUAUUUUGAGUUUGCUCAAUCUGUCCUUUAUUUUGUCAAUGAAUUAACUGUGUAUAGAUUUGGUACAUUAAACAUUUUAGAAAUUCUAUAUUUAGUGUAGAUUGUAUCAAUCUAAUGUUUUCUGUAUCUUAAAAAAAAACUUUUUUUUUUUGUGUCGAUGUUUGUGAUUAAUGCAAUAUUUAUGAUACGACAGACAUGUACUUCAAUAUAUUUUGUUACUUUAAAGGCCCAUUAUGCCUCAGAAAAGCCUUUUUUUUCGUUUUUCAAAAUUGUCUUCGUUUUUUGGCAUCCUGUUCUAGUUUUCAAAAAGUUAGUCAUUUACAAAUUACCUGAUUUAUUUUUUGUAUCUAUUACCUUUUGACAAUCAGUUCAGUUAAAGUGAUUGAGUAUUUUGUAUGGAAGUCGGAAUACUACUUUGUUUACAUUAUCCUACUUUUAUGACAAUUUCACAUUGAGCACUACUUUUCUCAGGGGAUGAGCAACUAACAUGCCCUUAAACCCUUAUUUAAAUGUUGUAAAACUCAUGUUUGCCCUUUCUAAAGAAGAAAAAAAAAAUCAUUUCUGAAGCAUCAUGUGCCUUUAAUUUUCAUUCGUUGUAAAUUUAGUAUUUAUGUCUUUGUUCUUUGGAUGUUUUGUCAUUUACAAGUUUUUUUUAUUUGAUAUGACAUUUUGUUAUCAGCUUUAACUGAAGAAGGCAGGACUGAAAGAAUGGCUUUUUUGCAAGUGAACAAAUUUUGGACAGUUGGGGAUUAUUCUUUGAUAGGGUUGUAAACAGAUGUUACUUUCAGAAUACAUUUUUUGUUUUUGUUUCUGUUUAACAUAUAAAAACUAUUUAUUUUGUGUUGUGUUAUUUGACAAUAAUUUUAAAGAAUUGUUCUAUUUUUUAAUUUGCACUCCUCCAGAUUUUGUUGUAAUAUUUAUGAAAACUUAAAAAAAAAUUGUUUAAAGGAGUAGAACUGUUUACUUAUUAAGUGAUUUAAUUUAGACAAAGGCAGUUGCUUUUAUUAAUUGGUCAAAAUAUGCAGAAAUUGUCCUAAUUUAUUCUGAAGAAAUUUACCUUACUCAAUUAGUAAAGGGGUACAAUUUUAAUGAUAAAACUAACAAUAUUUUACGACAUUCAAAGUCUCACCUUUAUUCAAUUUAUUCUGAAAAUUAAUACAUAUCUUAAAAUAUAGAUGUCUUUUUCUUGAAGUUUUUUUUACUUAAAAGAUUUAUUCUGCUCAACUGGAGGAUUGCCACUUAACAUUUAUAUUUCUGGUUUGACUGUUUCUUAAUUUAUUUAGUUUAUGUUUAUAAAAACAACAAAUGUUGAAUGCUUAUUAAUUACCAAAAACUAGUUUCAGUUUUUUAUUUUAAUGGUGUGUUGCUUUUGGUGCUCUGCUGGUGUAAGAUGGUUUUUUGUUGUUGUUGUUUUUUUUGCACUUUCAUAUGAUAUUCCCAUUCAUUCUAUAAUAUAUUUAUUAUACUUAUAUUUCUAAAUAAACAAAACCCUAAUAAAUAUGUUGCAUCAUGUAUUUUUAUAUCUGUUGCAUCAUGUAUUUUUAUAUCUAACUGUAUUGUUUAUAUGGCAUUUUACACUAGCAAUCAUUUUAUAUAAACUUACACUAAAAUAUGCUAGGAAAUUGUUACAGUAAAACCUGUUUUAAAGACCACUUCUGAUUUUAAGAUCACAGUGUUAAUAAAGACCACUCAUCAAAAAUUCUUUUUUUAUUCAAAAGAACCGAGUAACAUCCAAAUAAAGACCACAUGUCUAUAAAGGUCAUGUUUAGUAUUUGCUUUAGAUGGCCUUUUUUUACAGGUUUGACUGUAAAUAAUGAGCCUUUGACAUCUGUAAGAUUCUUUAAAUCAUGAGAUGAAUGGCAAGUUAAUGGCAAACAAGCAGUUCAAUUCCUCAUUUUUAUGUUAAUAUAAAUGAUUUUAUAUUUUCAUUUAUAUUAACCCUUCACCUGCUGGAACCAAAAGUGAUAAGCCUUUGCCACCAGUAUACAGCCGGGUUAGCCUGCACUUCCAUGCAGUCUGACCAGACUCUAUACUGUUGGCAGCUCAAUUUUUGUAUUUUGAUAUUGAAAUCCCCUUCACCUUUGAAUGGACUGUUUCAAAUUCAAAGCUGGACUGAUCCAUUAUAGAAAUAUAGCAGGUGAAGGGUUAAAUAUGUGUGUAAUGAAGAGAAUUUCCAUAAUGGUUAUAACUAUUUUACAACAGAAAUAACAGUUGUUUUUUUUUUAUCUUGCACAUCGUAUUGUGUAAAUUGAAGCACUACCUGCUUUUGUAAUAAAAAAUGAAUAUAUUUCAACAUAAUACUUCCAUAGAAAGCCAUAUUUUUUUUCAUAAUAUAUAACUAUAUCUAUGUCAACCUGUAUGUAGUGGUCACCUGUCUAUAGCUGUCACUUUAGCUCAGUCCUCUUGCUGAUCACUAAAGCCAAGAUAAACUUAACAAAAAACAACUGACCUUUGUUUCAAGUCUAAGAUGUAUUAAGUAAUAGAAAAGCAUUAUUUUAAGGGGCCAUCAAGUUAGUGAUUCUUUCUGUUAUUUCCUGUUAGGCAUUUGUUGGUAUUGAGUACAUUAAGAAGGUGAUGUACAUGUAUAUUUUAAUAACAAGGGAGAUAAUUAACAGAUGUUUAAUUAUAGGUAAUAUGUUAAUUGCUACAUACAUGGUGCAUUAAAGAAUGACUAAUAACUUACUAAUACAGUGCAAUUUUUCUACAAUAUCAUAAUUAUACUUAAGUCCUACAAUUAAAACCUCGAAAUGAAUUGUAAAUGUAUUGCAGAAAUUUUUAAGUGCAAAUGUAUUUUUUGGACAAAAAUAAAGAAAAUGAGCAGAACUUUCUUCAAUUUGCAAUACAUUGAAAUAAUUGCUGAAAUACAUGUAUAAUAUAAUUAUGCAUAUUAUACAUAUAUGUAGUGCCCACAAGAAACACAUUUCAUAGAUAGUUACCCAAAAUCCAAAUAUAGUAAGCAAGUGUCCCAAUAAAAAAAUUACUCAUUAAUCUAUUGUACCAAUUUUUGGACAAAGAGCAAUCAUGUUUUAAUUACAGUUAAACUGCAUAGUUUCUUACUAUUCAAAGUCUCAACUGAAGGUUAUUACAAUGUCCCUAGAUGAAUUAUAUUCCUUAUUUUACUAGAUGUUUUGUUACCCUAUAAAAGUUAUGACUUUUUGCUCAGGUUGGCUAUAUAAUAUAUACUGUAGCUAUAGUUUUGUAAACACAUACUACAUGUGCUAUAUUAAUAAAACAUAAAUAGUAUUA